rnacentral:rRNA from 1 species
GCUUAGGUUUCUCGUCUUAGGAUCAUCUGGGGUCAUUCGUACUCGUCCGCGAGAGGUGAAAUUCUUGGACCGGACGAAGACGAUCAGCAGCGAAAGCAUCUGUCAGGGAUGUUUUCUGCGACAAAGGACGAAGGUCAGGGUAUCGAAGACGAUUAGAUACCGUCGUAGUCCUGACUGUAAACUAUGCCGACUUGGGUCUUGCAGAGUAAAUACUUUGUGAGACCCACACAGAAAUGAAAGUGUAUGGGUUCUGGGGGUAGUAUGGACACGAGUCUGAAACUUGAAGGAAUUGACGGAAGAGCACCAUAAGACGUGGAGCUUGCGGCUUAAUUUGACUCAACGCGGGAAAACUUGCCAGGUCAAGACAUGGACGUGAUUGACAGGCUAAUGACCUUUCUCGAUUCCUUGGAUGGUGGUGCAUGGUCGCACUUAGUUGGUGCAGUGAUUUGUCAGGUUUAUUCCGGUAACGAACGAGACCUCGGCCUUGUAAAUAGUUUUACUGCUUACAGGGACAAUGUCGGCUACGUCAAGGAAGUUCGAGGCAAUUGCAGAUCUGGAAUGCCCUUAGAUGUCCUGGGUCGCACGCGUGCUACAAUGACGCCACGAGCGAGUUCAUGUGUUGAAAGACAUGUGAAAUCAGC